AUCGAACGCUGGCGGCAUGCCUAACACAUGCAAGUCGAACGAGUAGCGGACGGGUGAGACAUGUCUGGGACACUGCCUGAUGGAGGGGGCUAACGGCUUGAAACGUUAGCUAAUACCGCAUAACAUCGGAUUUGCCCUGAUGGGAUUAGCUAGUAGGUGGGGUAAAGGCUCACCUAGGCGACGAGCCCUAGCUGGUCUGAGAGGCUGACCAGCCACACGGGAACUGCGAAACGGGCCAGACUCCUACGGUAGGCAGCAGUAGGGAAUAUUGCACAAUGGGCGGAAGCCUGAUGCAGCCAUGCCGCGUGUAUGAAGAAGGCCUUCGGGUUGUAAAGUACUUUCAUCGGGGAGGCGGUACCCGCAGAAGAAGCCCCGGCUAACUACGUGCCAGCAGCCGCGGUAAUAC
rnacentral:rRNA from 1 species